rnacentral:rRNA from 1 species
CCCCACUGCUAUCGGGGUGGGACUAAAACAUGCGAGUCGAGCGUCUUCAGGCUAUGGUGAAGGCGCGGCGAACGGCUCAGUAACACGUGGCUAACCUGCCCUUUGGACGGGGACAACCACGGGAAACUGUGGCUAAUCCCCGAUAGAUGAGGAGGCCUGGAAUGGUUUCUCAUCCAAAAGGCGUUUAGGCCAUGCUUCUAGGCGUCGCCAAAGGAUGGGGCCGCGGCCGAUCAGGUUGCUGGUGAGGUAACGGCUCACCAAGCCUAUAACCGGUCCGGGCCGUGAGAGCGGGAGCCCGGAGAUGGGCACUGAGACAAGGGCCCAGGCCCUACGGGGCGCAGCAGUUGCGAAAACUCCGCAAUACGCGAAAGCGUGACGGGGUUACCCCGAGUGCCGUCCGCUGAGGAUGGCUUUUCCACGGUGUAAGGAGCCGUGGGAAUAAGGAGAGGGCAAGCCUGGUGUCAGCCGCCGCGGUAAUACCAGCUCUCCGAGUGGUGGGGACGAUUAUUGGGCUUAAAGCGUUCGUAGCCGGCUCAGCAAGUCUUCCGUUAAAUCCAACGAUCUAAUCGUUGGGCUGCGGGAGAUACUGUUGGGCUAGGGGGCGGGAGAAGCCGACGGUAUCCUCGGGGUAGGGGUGAAAUCCUAUAAUCCCGGGAAGACCACCAGUGGCGAAGGCGGUCGGCUAGAACGCGCCCGACGGUGAGGGACGAAAGCUGGGGGAGCGAACCGGAUUAGAUACCCGGGUAGUCCCAGCCGUAAACGAUGCGGGCUAGGUGUUGGGGCGGUCACGAACCGCCUCAGUGCCGCACGGAAGCAAUUAAGCCCGCCGCCUGGGGAGUACGGUCGCAAGGCUGAAACUUAAAGGAAUUGGCGGGGGAGCACCACAAGGCGUGAAGCUUGCGGUUUA